CCUUCAGGUUGUGAUUGGCUUGGGGAUUGCACAUGGCUGAUGAUAAACCAUGGAGUUCUCCUGGGAGGAGGGAGCCUUAUUUGAUGCUGCUGCCAGAGUGCAAGUUGGGAAUCUCAAGAACACCUACUUUUGGACGGACAGAUGGAUGUUCCAGCUAUUGCUGAACAUGAUUGCUCUCAUGGUUGUGGAAGCUAUCCUGC
rnacentral:lncRNA from 1 species